rnacentral:tRNA from 1 species
GGUGAACUGGCGCAGGGCAAGGCGCUGGACGUUUGGCAGGCGGCUGUGGAUUCAGGUUCCGAUACCCAUGUUCACGGC